UGGGGAAUAUUGCACAAUGGGCGCAAGCCUGAUGCAGCCAUGCCGCGUGUAUGAAGAAGGCCUUCGGGUUGUAAAGUACUUUCAGCGGGGAGGAAGGGAGUAAAGUUAAUACCUUUACUCAUUGACGUUACCCGCAGAAGAAGCACCGGCUAACUCCGUGCCAGCAGCCGCGGUAAUACGGAGGGUGCAAGCGUUAAUCGGAAUUACUGGGCGUAAAGCGCACGCAGGCGGUCUGUCAAGUCGGAUGUGAAAUCCCCGGGCUCAACCUGGGAAAUGCAUGAGAAAAUGGCAGGCUAGAGUCUUGUAGAGGGGGGUAGAAUUCCAGGUGUAGCGGUGAAAUGCGUAGAGAUCUGGAGGAAUACCGGUGGCGGAGGCGGCCCCCUGGAAAAAGACUGACGCUCAGGUGCGAAAGCGUGGGGAGCAAACAGG
rnacentral:rRNA from 1 species